rnacentral:misc_RNA from 1 species
AACGGUCUAUACCUGCGGUACCUGCGGAGGGAUCAUUGCAGAAUUGGGGUUUGAUGGGGGUUUGGUGUUUGGGCGCUUGUUGACGGCCGUAAGGGCGUCGACAGGCAGCUGGACAACAGCAGUCCCACACGUUUGCGCUUGUAUGGGUUUGACAGAGUGAGGUGACACGAAAAAAGGACAACUUUCAGCAACGGAUCUCU